rnacentral:rRNA from 1 species
AGAGUUUGAUCCUGGCUCAGGAUGAACGCUAGCGGCAGGCUUAAUACAUGCAAGUCGUGGGGCAGCACAGGUAGCAAUACUGGGUGGCGACCGGCAAACGGGUGCGGAACACGUACGCAACCUUCCUUUAAGCGGGGAAUAGCCCAGGGAAACUUGGAUUAAUACCCCAUAGGACAAUAGUCUGGCAUCAGAUAGUUGUUAAAGCUCCGGCACUUAAAGAUGGGCGUGCGGCUGAUUAGGUAGUUGGCGGGGUAACGGCCCACCAAGCCGACGAUCAGUAACUGGUGUGAGAGCACGACCAGUCACACGGGCACUGAGACACGGGCCCGACUCCUACGGGAGGCAGCAGUAAGGAAUAUUGGUCAAUGGACGCAAGUCUGAACCAGCCAUGCCGCGUGGAGGAUGAAGGCCCUCUGGGUUGUAAACUUCUUUUAUCAGGGAAGAACUCUAUCUUUUCUAAGGUAGUUGACGGUACUUGAUGAAUAAGCACCGGCUAACUCCGUGCCAGCAGCCGCGGUAAUACGGAGGGUGCAAGCGUUAUCCGGAUUCACUGGGUUUAAAGGGUGCGUAGGUGGGCAGGUAAGUCAGUGGUGAAAUCUCCGGGCUUAACCCGGAAACUGCCGUUGAUACUAUCUGUCUUGAAUAUAGUGGAGGUGAGCGGAAUAUGUCAUGUAGCGGUGAAAUGCUUAGAUAUGACAUAGAACAUCGAUUGCGAAGGCAGCUCGCUACGCUAUUAUUGACACUGAGGCACGAAAGCGUGGGGAUCAAACAGGAUUAGAUACCCUAGUAGUCC